GACGAACGCUGGCGGCGUGCUUAACACAUGCAAGUCGAACGAUGAUGCCCAGCUUGCUGGGUGGAUUAGUGGCGAACGGGUGAGUAACACGUGAGUAACCUGCCCCUGGCUCUGUGAUAAGCGUUGGAAACGACGUCUAAUACUGGAUAUGAUCACUGGCCGCAUGGUCUGGUGGUGGAAAGAUUUUUUGGUUGGGGAUGGACUCGCGGCCUAUCAGCUUGUUGGUGAGGUAAUGGCUCACCAAGGCGACGACGGGUAGCCGGCCUGAGAGGGUGACCGGCCACACUGGGACUGAGACACGGCCCAGACUCCUACGGGAGGCAGCAGUGGGGAAUAUUGCACAAUGGGCGAAAGCCUGAUGCAGCAACGCCGCGUGAGGGAUGACGGCCUUCGGGUUGUAAACCUCUUUUAGUAGGGAAGAAGCGAAAGUGACGGU
rnacentral:rRNA from 1 species